GGGUGUAUAGCUCAGUUGGUAGAGCAUUGGGCUUUUAACCUAAUGGUCGCAGGUUCAAGUCCUGCUGGAUUCU